CUCUAGAAAUUGAACAUGCAUUUUAUGCAGAGUUAAUAUUGAGCAUCAUUUCCUCUGGUGAACUCCUAUCCACCUUUCAGAACCCAGCUAAGGGGUCAUCUCCUUAGAGAAGCCUUCACAGAUAUUCCCCUAAAAAGUUGCAAAAGCAAGUUGUUCAUCAAUGGAAGAAUGGAUGAAUAAGAAGUGGUACAGCCAUACACUGGAAUAUUAUUUGGCCAUAAAAAGGAAUGAAGCUCUGACACCUGCUACAACAUGAAUGAACUGUGAAAAUAUGAUGCUGACCCAGCUCUCCAGGCUACAGCCCACCAGGGAUGCAUUUUGGGAUUGGAUUUCCAACCUCAAAAUCACUCAGAGCUAGAAGGGCUGUUCUGAGGGUCCGGACACUCUUGUUCUGCCAAUGACUCACCCUGUGGCCUUGAGCAAAACCACUUCCCUCCUCUGCACCUCAGUAUCCUCAUCCACAGAAUGAAGAUGAAAAUCUUUGCUCUGCCUACCUCAUGGGUUGUUGAGAGAUCAAACAACAUUGGCAGGGAAGCAAAGCGGUAUGUUAAGGGUUUAAAUCAGGGGCCAGCAUUCCCCAACAAAUCAUCACAGAACCUCAUCUUCAGUGAUAACUCUCAAAGUCCUUCCUGGUACAGUGUUAGUGUUACAGCUGCACCUGCGUACCAGGCCCUGGCCGAGCACCCACCUGCAUGAUCUCUUGCUCACUCCUCAUGACAGGUGUCCGAGUGGGGCAGUACCACCCCAUGUCCUGGAUGAUGAA